GGAGAUGCUGAAACAUGGAGAAUAAGGGAGAGCAAGGAUCGUACUAAGGUUGAAAAAUCUGAUACCAUGUAGAAAAGGUUUAUUUUCUCAUAUCUUUCAAUGAUUCAUGGAUACAAUAUUUAUACAGUAAUGGCUAGAGUAAUAGCCCUAUACUAAUGACAGAGUAAAUUACAUAAUUGAUUGGCUUAUUUAUUGUAGUAACC
rnacentral:lncRNA from 1 species